rnacentral:tRNA from 2 species
GUAAGUAUAGUUUAGCCAAAAAUAUUAGAUUGUGGUUCUAAAGAUGAGGGUUAGAAUCCCUUUACUCACCG